AGCGAACGCUGGCGGCAGGCUUAACACAUGCAAGUCGAACGCAUCCUUCGGGGUGAGUGGCAGACGGGUGAGUAACACGUGGGAACGUACCUUUUGGUUCGGAACAACUGAGGGAAACUUCAGCUAAUACCGGAUACGCCCUUAUGGGGAAAGAUUUAUCGCCGAAAGAUCGGCCCGCGUCUGAUUAGCUAGUUGGUGAGGUAAUGGCUCACCAAGGCGACGAUCAGUAGCUGGUCUGAGAGGAUGAUCAGCCACACUGGGACUGAGACACGGCCCAGACUCCUACGGGAGGCAGCAGUGGGGAAUAUUGGACAAUGGGCGCAAGCCUGAUCCAGCCAUGCCGCGUGAGUGAUGAAGGCCUUAGGGUUGUAAAGCUCUUUUAUCCGGGACGAUAAUGACGGUACCGGAAGAAUAAGCCCCGGCUAACUCCGUGCCAGCCGCCGCAGUAAAAC
rnacentral:rRNA from 1 species